ACCUUUUAAUUAGGGCUUCCUCAACAUAUCCUCUUCCUAACCAGAAACAUAGUACAAUCACAAUGAAAUUCAUCUAUGGACCAUACCUAGCGACCUUAUUGAAAAAAUUAAUGGAUGAAUUCCAAAAUCUUUUCCCAAUUGACAAAGGCCAGAGGUUUUGCUUCGUAACAUCUCUGGAAAAAUUUCUUCUCAAAUUUUCAACUUUUGAAAAUUUAGACUCUAAAGAUUGCAUAAUGGGUGUUGAAGAAGUUGUAUUAUUCGUCCACUGCUCUUUUACAUGUCUAUUUGAGAAUUCAUGCAUCUGAAGUUGCAUUGAUUGCAAAUUCUACAUUGAAUGUUUUAGCAGCUGUGAUGAUACAUGGUGCAGUUCUCUUUCCUUUUUCUUAAUUUUAAGUGCUGACAAGAUUCAAGAAAAUUGAAUUGCUUUCUUUAGGAGGGGCUCUAUAUGAAGCUCUUUUAUGCUUCUAGACCAAAGUACAAAAUGAAGAGAUCCAAAUUAAUGCGUACCAAUUGACUUUCUUUAGGAUCAAGAUUAUUAAUAUCCAGUUGUAGUUAAGGAGUUCACAAGAUAUGGGACUAUGGGAACCCUUCUUGUACACUAAGCAAAAGGGAAAAUCAGGGAUGUCGUGUUUGUUGAGCUGCAAACGUGAGUAUGUUUAUAUGUCUAUUUCCGGUUUAUGUUUUAUAUUUUAACGUGCUAAUACAUGAGCACAUUUUGUUGAUUUGCAAGGUGAAUAUUAAGCAUUAAACUCUCUUCUGAUGAGAAAAAAUUGUAUUUUGUGACCCGAUAAAUGCUGUUGCUCUGGAGGGCAAAUAAUUGUUGCAUUACUUUUUGGCCCUUCUGUGAGUUACAUGAAGGAAACUUCAUCCAAAGUGCAGUUGUA